rnacentral:lncRNA from 1 species
GUCUUCUUCUUUUAUAUUUUCUAAUUUUUGUGUAAUUUUUUCACUUCCUUUUAUCCAUUCUGUUGUCUUUCGUUUUUUGUUAUUUACUCUUUUUGCUCCUAUUUUUUGUUUACACGGUGUUGUGAACCACCAGUGUGUUUUUGUUAUUAUAUGUGGGUAUAAUUUUUCUAAAAAUGGCAUUCCUAAUAACAUAUCUUUUGUAGUCAAUUCAAAGUUAUAUAUUUCUUCUAUAGUUAAUAUCUUAUC